UACGUAGGGCGCAAGCGUUGUCCGGAAUUAUUGGGCGUAAAGCGCGCGCAGGCGGUCCUUUAAGUCUGAUGUGAAAGCCCACGGCUCAACCGUGGAGGGUCAUUGGAAACUGCUGUGCUUGAGUGUGGGAGAGGCGCGUGGAAUUGCAGGUGUAGCGGUGAAAUGCGUAGAUAUCUGCAGGAACACCCGUGGCGAAAGCGGCGCGCUGGACCACUACUGACGCUGAGGAACGAAAGCUAGGGGAGCAAACAGG
rnacentral:rRNA from 1 species